rnacentral:rRNA from 1 species
AGAGUUUGAUCCUGGCUCAGAGCGAACGCUGGCGGCAGGCUUAACACAUGCAAGUCGAGCGGGCGUAGCAAUACGUCAGCGGCAGACGGGUGAGUAACGCGUGGGAACGUACCUUUUGGUUCGGAACAACACAGGGAAACUUGUGCUAAUACCGGAUAAGCCCUUACGGGGAAAGAUUUAUCGCCGAAAGAUCGGCCCGCGUCUGAUUAGCUAGUUGGUGAGGUAAUGGCUCACCAAGGCGACGAUCAGUAGCUGGUCUGAGAGGAUGAUCAGCCACAUUGGGACUGAGACACGGCCCAAACUCCUACGGGAGGCAGCAGUGGGGAAUAUUGGACAAUGGGCGCAAGCCUGAUCCAGCCAUGCCGCGUGAGUGAUGAAGGCCCUAGGGUUAUAAAGCUCUUUUGUGCGGGAAGAUAAUGACGGUACCGCAAGAAUAAGCCCCGGCUAACUUCGUGCCAGCCGCCGCGGUAAUAC